rnacentral:rRNA from 1 species
GGGAGGCAGCAGUAAGGAAUAUUGGACAAUGGGCGCAAGCCUGAUCCAGCCAUCCCGCGUGGAGGAUGACGGCCCUAUGGGUUGUAAACUCCUUUUAUUAGGGAAGAAACCCAGAGAUUUAUCUUUGGCUGACGGUACCUAAAGAAUAAGCACCGGCUAACUCCGUGCCAGCAGCCGCGGUAAUACGGAGGGUGCAAGCGUUAUCCGGAAUUACUGGGUUUAAAGGGUGCGUAGGCGGGUCUAUAAGUCAGAGGUGAAAGCUUUCAGCUUAACUGAAAAAUUGCCUUUGAUACUGUAGAUCUUGAAUUAUGUUGAGGUUAGCGGAAUGUGACAUGUAGCGGUGAAAUGCAUAGAUAUGUCAUAGAACACCAAUUGCGAAGGCAGCUAGCUAGGCAUAUAUUGACGCUGAGGCACGAAAGCAUGGGGAGCGAACAGGAUUAGAUACCCUGGUAGUCCAUGCCCUAAACGAUGCUUACUCGAUGUUUGGUUUUAUACUGAGCAUCCAAGGGAAACCGUUAAGUAAGCCACCUGGGGAGUACGUUCGCAAGAAUGAAACUCAAA